CCUCCUCCUCCUGGAAUCACCUCCUGUUCAUGCUGGCGUGUAGGGAGAGGCACUGGUCUGUCUCCAAUGCUCUCCCCGCUCCCUGGACAACUUCACAUCCCGUGACUGUAGCUCAGAAGCAAGUGUGCAGAGUCCGUCAAACAGCCUGCAGCUUUGCUCCUGAGGAACCCUUCCGCGUGCUCCAGGCCCUCUGCAGUGCUGUGUUCAUUCUAGUCAGGAUCACAGGUUUUACCAGGUUAACAAAAGUGGUCCACGGGGCUCUCAGCUGGAAUCACACUGCUGCUCUAGACCCUCAACAGAUGGGAGAGAGGAAUUGUGAAAUUGCUUGUCUUAAGAAAACAGAAACCCUGCUAUCUGAGACAGGAUCUCAGGGGACCUACUUUGGCCACAGCACUUUUACUUCUCAUUCAGAGCAGCCCAGCGUUGUCCCACAGCAGAGAUUUGAUACUACAAGCACAGCAUGAAGCUCUUGCUUGAAAACCCUUUUUGCCACCAGUAAAAGAAAUCUACUUUCAGAAAAGAAGUCGUGCACACAAUUCAUGGAGGAGGACGCCAACCCAUUUCCACUGCAUAAGAAAUGAACAUUAAACCCUUGAGAGAAUAAAUAAAUCCGAGCAAAUUACCAAAUAAUGCUUUUCCCAGUAUAUUUCCUUUGAGCCUAAGAGCUCGCAGACUGCGAAUAGCACAGCUGUGCGGAGCUGCAAGGCCUUGCUCCUCGCGGGCGGAGGGCGCGGG
rnacentral:lncRNA from 1 species